rnacentral:rRNA from 1 species
CCUACGGGAGGCUGCAGUGGGGAAUAUUGCACAAUGGGCGCAAGCCUGAUGCAGCCAUGCCGCGUGUGUGAAGAAGGCCUUCGGGUUGUAAAGCACUUUCAGCGGGGAGGAAGGCGUUAAGGUUAAUAACCUUGUCGAUUGACGUUACCCGCAGAAGAAGCACCGGCUAACUCCGUGCCAGCAGCCGCGGUAAUACGGAGGGUGCAAGCGUUAAUCGGAAUUACUGGGCGUAAAGCGCACGCAGGCGGUCUGUCAAGUCGGAUGUGAAAUCCCCGGGCUCAACCUGGGAACUGCAUUCGAAACUGGCAGGCUAGAGUCUUGUAGAGGGGGGUAGAAUUCCAGGUGUAGCGGUGAAAUGCGUAGAGAUCUGGAGGAAUACCGGUGGCGAAGGCGGCCCCCUGGACAAAGACUGACGCGCAGGUGCGAAAGCGUGGGGAGCAAACAGGAUUAGAUACCCGUGUAGUC